GCCCCUAUAGCACAGCGGUAGUGCAGCAGUUUUGUAAACUGAAGGUCGGGAGUUCAAAUCUCUCUGGGGGCACCA
rnacentral:tRNA from 2 species